rnacentral:rRNA from 1 species
UACAGAGGUCCCAAGCGUUGUUCGGAUUCACUGGGCGUAAAGGGUGCGUAGGCGGUCGGGUAAGUCUGAUGUGAAAUCUCACAGCUUAACUGUGAAACUGCAUUGGAUACUAUCCGGCUAGAGGAAUGGAGGGGAGACUGGAAUACUUGGUGUAGCAGUGAAAUGCGUAGAUAUCAAGUGGAACACCAGUGGCGAAGGCGGCCGGCUGGGGGUGACCUGACGCUGAGGCGCGAAAGCGUGGGGAGCGAACCGG